rnacentral:rRNA from 1 species
GACCAGACUCCUACGGGAGGCAGCAGUGGGGAAUAUUGCACAAUGGGGGGAAUCCUGAUGCAGCAAUGCCGCGUGGGUGAAGAAGCACUCCGGUGCGUAAAGCCCUGUCAGCAGGGAAGAAAAUGACGGUACCUGAUUAAGAAGCCCCGGCUAACUACGUGCCAGCAGCCGCGGUAAUACGGAGGAUGCGAGCGUUAUCCGGAUUUAUUGGGUUUAAAGGGUGCGUAGGCGGACGCUUAAGUCAGCGGUAAAAUUGCGGGGCUCAACCUCGUCGAGCCGUUGAAACUGGGUGCCUUGAGUGGGCGAGAAGUACGCGGAGUGCGUGGUGUAGCGGUGAAAUGCAUAGAUAUCACGCAGAACUCCGAUUGCGAAGGCAGCGUACCGGCGCCCAACUGACGCUGAAGCACGAAGGCGUGGGUAUCGAACAGGAUUAGAUACCCCUGUA